rnacentral:lncRNA from 1 species
CCAUUUAAUUAAUGUUUCCACAUUAAUGUCUCUAUAUUGUCUAUUCUAUUCUUGGAUUUCUCUGCCGACGUCCCCAAAGAACGGAGUCCGAGCAGAGAAGCGUCUUCAGUCGCCUCGGCGCAGGGACGCACACGGUACAAGGUACCCAUUUAUUUAAUGUUUUUACAUUAUCUAUUCUGCUUUUGGAUUUCUCUCUGCCGACGUCCUCAAAGAACGGACACCGAGCAGAGGAGCAUUUUCAAUCGCCUCGGUGAAGGGGUGCUCAC